AAAAACGUUAGGACGCGGAGUAGUAAGCGUAGGAUCCUGUCAGAGAGGUGCCGGAUGGUGCGAGGCACUCAGGAAGCCGAAUGCCGAACUGACCGCUGAACGGCGGCCCGAACCAACAGUAGGAGCCGACGGGGUUGCGCCCGUUAUCAGCGCAGGGGUAUCAAGUUGUGCCGUGUGGCCCAGCCCGUACCCGCUAAGGUGCAUUUCGUUUUUGAAAUGAAGAAGAGUGGUACCGCGGAAGCUUUGCUCUUUCGUCUCUUCU
rnacentral:ncRNA from 1 species